CCAACUUCUUAGUUCUCAAUGCCUGUUUCUAGGUUGAAUUUUGAAUUGUGACUGCUAUCUUACAAAAUGAUAACCAGAUCUUAAUUAUUCAAGUUGGUUGGAUAGGCUUUAUUUUGGUUUAAUGAGGAGAUUUCGAGCCAUAUAGUGUUACUGAUACAGGAAUUCGAAGCAAGUUUGGUCUCAGAACCUGGCAUCCUCCAUAAUGUGGAAUGGAGUGUUUAUAAGUGAGGUUGUAACCUGCUUAGUUCAAGUUUAUUUUCCUGAAAAUAAAGAAAAGUCAUUACAGAGAUCUCCAGAACUGGCAAAUACACCCUCUGCCACCCCUUGUUCUGGUGUAUUCACUGGUCACCUCCUUGCUUCUUCAUUUCAGUCUGGAUGCUCAGAAACAAAGUGAAGCCUGUGAAGUGCUUUGGAAUGUUUUGGUCCAGAAGUUACAGAUGGGACAGUUAGAAACAGUGACGACUCCGAGAUUGUCUCUCAAUGACACUACUACUGUUUUGCAACCAUAUGCAAGCCCUAGAGAGGAAAGUGAGCUGGAGACACUGGGAGCUUUAAAGGGGACAUUUUUGCUUCAUUUGCUUUGUGUCAGCUCCCUUCCUCUUGGAUGAGGCACUUACACUCUCAUGCUGUCAGGAACAAUCUGUGGGCAUCUGCAUGUGCAUGUGAGAGAUACAGUGACAUGGACCAUCCUGCGGGAUCACAUCCUAGUGAACAGCGCUCCAGUUUGUGGGGCUCUCCACAUGAUAGAAAAGAAGAAAUGCUUUAUAGAAUGCACUGACGUGUUAUGUAUAAACGUACAAUGUGUGUGGUAUAUACAUCUGUAAAUUAUAUUCCAUACGUUUGUUAAUGAUGACUGCAUAAACAUAGAACACUUGUGUAUCUUUAUCAAACAUGAGUGAAAAUCUCA